AUUGAACGCUGGCGGCAGGCCUAACACAUGCAAGUCGCACGAGUGGCGGACGGGUGAGUAAUUUCUGGGAAACUGCCUGCUGGUGGGGGAUAACUACUGGAAACGGUAGCUAAUACCGCAUACCAUCGGAUGUGCCCAGAUGGGAUUAGGUAGUAGGUGGGGUAAAGGCUAACUUAGGCGACGAUCCCGAGCUGGUCUGAGAGGAUGAUCAGCCACACUGCAAUUGAGACACGGUCCGGACUCCUGUGGAAGGGAGCAGUGGGGAAUAUUGCAGGAUGGGCGCAAGCCUGAUGCAGCCGUGCCGCGUGUAUGAAGAAGGCCUUCGGGUUGUAAAGUACUUUCAGCGGGGAGGCGUUACCCGCAGAAGAAGGACCGGCUAAGUCCGUGCCAGCCGCCGCGGUAAUAC
rnacentral:rRNA from 1 species